AGGACGAACGCUGGCGGCGUGCUUCAUACAUGCAAGUCGAACGAUAAGGUCUCUUCGGAGAUACAUAAGUGGCGGACGGGUGAGUAAAAUGUAGAGAAUCUGCCCUAGAGUGGGGGACAACAGAGGGAAACUUCUGCUAAUACCCCAUAUGAGCGUAGCUGAGAUGCUAUUCUUGAAAGCUCCGGUGCUCUAGGAUGAGUCUGCAUCUGAUUAGCUAGUAGGCGGUGUAAUGGACCACCUAGGCGACGAUCAGUAGCUGGUUUGAGAGGAUGAUCAGCCACAAUGGGACUGAGACACGGCCCAUACUCCUACGGGAGGCAGCAGUAGGGAAUUUUGCGCAAUGGGGGAAACCCUGACGCAGCAACGCCGCGUGAAUGAAGAAGCCCUUCGGGGUGUAAAGUUCUGUCAGUGGGGACGAAACUUGACGGUACCCACAGAGGAAGCAUCGGCUAACUCCGUGCCAGCCGCCGC
rnacentral:rRNA from 1 species